CGGCGUGCCUAAUACAUGCAAGUCGAGCGUUCGAUUCAAAAGCUUGCUUUUGAAUCGUUAGCGGCGGACGGGUGAGUAACACGUGGGCAACCUGCCCUGUAGACGGGGAUAACACCGAGAAAUCGGUGCUAAUACCGGAUAACACGAAGAACCGCAUGGUUUUUCGUUGAAAGGCGGCGCAAGCUGUCGCUACAGGAUGGGCCCGCGGCGCAUUAGCUAGUUGGUGAGGUAACGGCUCACCAAGGCGACGAUGCGUAGCCGACCUGAGAGGGUGAUCGGCCACACUGGGACUGAGACACGGCCCAGACUCCUACGGGAGGCAGCAGUAGGGAAUCUUCCGCAAUGGACGAAAGUCUGACGGAGCAACGCCGCGUGAGCGAAGAAGGCCUUCGGGUCGUAAAGCUCUGUUGUUAGGGAAGAACAAGUACCGCAGUCACUGGCGGUACCUUGACGGUACCUAACGAGAAAGCCACGGCUAACUACGUGCCAGCAGCCGCGGUAAUACGUAGGUGGCAAGCGUUGUCCGGAAUUAUUGGGCGUAAAGCGCGCGCAGGCGGUUCCUUAAGUCUGAUGUGAAAGCCCACGGCUCAACCGUGGAGGGUCAUUGGAAACUGGGGGACUUGAGUGCAGAAGAGGAGAGCGGAAUUCCACGUGUAGCGGUGAAAUGCGUAGAGAUGUGGAGGAACACCAGUGGCGAAGGUGGCUCUCUGGUCUGUAACUGACGCUGAGGCGCGAAAGCGUGGGGAGCAAACAGGAUUAGAUACCCUGGUAGUCCACGCCGUAAACGAUGAGUGCUAAGUGUUAGAGGGUAUCCAUCCUUUAGUGCUGUA
rnacentral:rRNA from 1 species